ACUGGGUGUGGUGGCACACCUGCAGUCCCAGCUACUUGGAGGCUGAGGCAGGGGAAUCACUUGACCCCAGGAAUUCGAGGCUGUAGUGUGCUAUGCAAUGGGGUGUCUGCACUAAGUUAGGCAUUAAUAUGGUGAACUCCCGGGAGUAGGGCCUGCCAGCUUGCCUAAGGAGGUUUCAACCCGUUGGAAACCUAGAAGGUCACAACUCCAGGGCUCAUUAGCAGUGGGAUCAGCGCCUGGGAAUAGACACUGUGCUCCAGCCUGGAUGACAAUAGCCAGAUCCAGUCUU
rnacentral:SRP_RNA from 1 species